GAUGAACGCUAGCUACAGGCUUAACACAUGCAAGUCGAGGGGAAACGACAUCGAAAGCUUGCUUUUGAUGGGCGUCGACCGGCGCACGGGUGAGUAACGCGUAUCCAACCUGCCCACCACUUGGGGAUAACCUUGCGAAAGUAAGACUAAUACCCAAUGAUAUCUCUAGAAGACAUCUGAAAGAGAUUAAAGAUUUAUCGGUGAUGGAUGGGGAUGCGUCUGAUUAGCUUGUUGGCGGGGUAACGGCCCACCAAGGCAACGAUCAGUAGGGGUUCUGGAAGGAAGGGCCCCCACAUUGGAACGGAGACACGGUCCAAACUCCUACGGGAGGAAGCAGUGAGAAAUAUUGGUCAAUGGACGAGAGUCUGAACCAGCCAAGUAGCGUGCAGGAUGACGGCCCUAUGGGUUGUAAACUGCUUUUAUAAGGGAAUAAAGUGAGUCUCGUGAGGCUUUUUGCAUGUACCUUAUGAAUAAGGACCGGCUAAUUCCGUGCCAGCCGCCGCAGUAA
rnacentral:rRNA from 1 species